ACAAAAUGGAGGUAGUGUGGUAUUGCACAUAGCAUUAUAAAAGGGAAUCCUGUAAGCUUCAGUUUAGGAGGGAGUCAGGAACUGUGCCCGCAGCCGUAUUCUGCCCAGACUAUGGGUGAGCGUUCCAUCACUGUCUGCCAAUAGGCAGAUGGAAGAUGCUCCAAAAGAAAGUCGGAAAACCUGCCACAAAAAUAAUUAUAAA
rnacentral:ncRNA from 2 species